GAAUAUUGGACAAUGGGGGAAACCCUGAUCCAGUCAUGCCGCGUGUGUGAAGAAGGUCUUCGGAUUGUAAAGCACUUUAAGUUGGGAGGAAGGGCAGUAAGCGAAUACGUUGCUGUUUGGACGUUACCGACAGAAUAAGCACAGGCUAACUAGUUGCACGCAGCCUCGGUAAUACAGAGGGUGCAAGCGUUAAUCGGAAUUACUGGGCGUAAAGCGCGCGUAGGUGGUUCGUUAAGUUGGAUGUGAAAUCCCCGGGCUCAACCUGGGAACUGCAUCCAAAACUGGCGAGCUAGAGUAGGGCAGAGGGUGGUGGAAUUUCCUGUGUAGCGGUGAAAUGCGUAGAUAUAGGAAGGAACACCAGUGGCGAAGGCGACCACCUGGGCUCAUACUGACACUGAGGUGCGAAAGCGUGGGGAGCAAACAG
rnacentral:rRNA from 1 species